UAGGGAAUUUUGCGCAAUGGGGGAAACCCUGACGCAGCAACGCCAUGUGUGGGAUGAAGCAUUUAGGUGUGUAAACCACUGUCGACAGGGAAUAAUGAUUCACUUCGGUGGAUUUGAAUGUACCUGUAGAGGAAGCCCCGGCUAACUUCGUGCCAGCAGCCGCGGUAAUACGAGGGGGGUAAGUGUUGUUCGGAAUUACUGGGCGUAAAGGGAGCGUAGGCGGGAGUUUAAGUCGGAUGUUUAAUACCGGGGCCCAACCCCGGACUUGCGUCCGAGACUGGACUUCUUGAAUAUGACAGAGGUGAAUGGAAUUCUCGGUGUAGCGGUGGAAUGCGUAGAUAUCGGGAGGAACACCAGCAGCGAAGGCGAUUCACUGGGUCAAUAUUGACGCUGAGGCUCGAAAGCGUGGGGAGCGAACA
rnacentral:rRNA from 1 species